rnacentral:rRNA from 1 species
UACAGAGGUCUCAAGCGUUGUUCGGAUUCAUUGGGCGUAAAGGGUGCGUAGGCGGCGGGGCAAGUCGGAUGUGAAAUCUCAGGGCUCAACCCUGAAACUGCAUUCGAUACUGCCUUGCUCGAGGACUGGAGAGGAGAUUGGAAUUUACGGUGUAGCGGUGAAAUGCGUAGAUAUCGUAAGGAAGACCAGUGGCGAAGGCGGGUCUCUGGACAGUUCCUGACGCUGAUGCACGAAGGCCAGGGGAGCAAACGGG